UGCAUCGGCCGAUAAUCAAACCUGUGCCGCCUGCGUGGCAGGUGAGCAUUCUACCACUGAACCACCGAUGC
rnacentral:tRNA from 1 species